rnacentral:rRNA from 1 species
AUACCCGCCGCCCAAGUGGUGGUCGAUUUUAUUGAGUCUAAAACGUUCGUAGCCGGUUCAUUAAAUCCUUGGGUAAAUCGGAUGGCUUAACUAUCCGAAUUCCGGGGAGACUGGUGAACUUGGGACCGGGAGAGGCAAGAGGUACUUUUGGGGUAGGGGUAAAAUCCUGUAAUCCUAAAAGGACCACCGGUGGCGAAGGCGUCUUGCUAGAACGGAUCCGACGGUGAGGGACGAAGCCCUGGGUCGCAAACGGGAUUAGAUACCCCGGUAGUCCAGGGUGUAAACGCUGCAGACUUGGUGUUGGGGACCCUUCGGGGGUGUUCAGUGCCGGAGAGAAGUUGUUAAGUCUGCUACUUGGGGAGUACGUCCGCAAGGAUGAAACUUAAAGGAAUUGGCGGGG